rnacentral:rRNA from 1 species
AGCGAACGCUGGCGGCAGGCUUAACACAUGCAAGUCGAGCGAUGAAGUUUCUUCGGAAAUGGAUUAGCGGCGAACGGGUGAGGAACACGUGAAGAAUCUGCCCUCCACUUUGGGAUAACACCGGGAAACCGGUGCUAAUACCGAAUAUUGAAACAUAAGUGGCAUCACUGAGUUUUGAAAGAAUUUCGGUGGAGGAUGACUUCGCGGCCUAUCAGCUAGUUGGUGAGGUAAUGGCUCACCAAGGCAACGACGGGUAGCCGGCCUGAGAGGGCGGCCGGCCACACUGGGACUGAGACACGGCCCAGACUCCUACGGGAGGCAGCAGUGGGGAAUAUUGGGCAAUGGAGGAAACUCUGACCCAGCGACGCCGCGUGCGGGAUGAAGGCCUUCGGGUUGUAAACCGCUCUCAGUAGGGAAGAAGCGAAAGUGACGGUACCUACAAAAGAAGCACCGGCUAACUAUGUG